rnacentral:rRNA from 1 species
UACAGAGGCCCCAAGCAUUACCCGGAAUCAUUGGGCGUAAAGGGUGCGUAGGUGGUCAUAUUAGUCGAAUGUUAAAUCCCGGGGCUUAACUCCGGAAUCGCGUUCGAAACGGUACGACUCGAGAGCGUGAGAGGUGAAUGGAACUCAUGGUGUAGGGGUGAAAUCCGUUGAUAUCAUGGGGAACACCGAAAGCGAAAGCAAUUCACUGGCACGUUUCUGACACUCAAGCACGAAAGCGUGGGUAGCGAACGGG